rnacentral:tRNA from 1 species
GGUGGGUUGGCUCAGUGGUUAGAGCGUAGGUCUCGUAACCGAAAGGUCACGGGAUCGAAUCCCGCUAGAGGCUG